rnacentral:lncRNA from 7 species
AUCUAAUAAUGUUAAUCAAUUGCUUAGAAAAGACAGGCAGUUGAAAAGAAAUAGGAGUUUCCUAAUUACACUGCAUAUAAAGAAAUGGUCUUUGGUAGCAAAGCAGGUGGAAAAUGGGAGUAAUAAUGAUAAGCUGAUAAAGCUUGAUUGUAUUAAACUGGAUCAGGUGAAGUGACAUAGCAGAGAGAGGAGUGACUGUGCAAAUUGAGUAAAUAGGAAGAGUAGGGUAGAUAUCUGAAUAAAUAUAGACAAAGAAUUCACUAAAGCUGUGGCUUCUAAAAAACGUUUUUCUGUAUUGCCAAAAAUGCUUCAAGUAGAGGUACUGAUCUACAAUAAAUAUAAGUCCCUACAUAUUUGAUAAUCAUUCAUUGUAAGUACCAGAAGACUAGAGAUCAGAAUAAAAAUUGUUCCUCUCUGAGGGAGGACUGGAAAGCAAAAUGCAGUCCUAAGAUCCUUAGUCUUUUUUUGUAUAUGAAAAUAUGUUCAAUAAUUGGAAUGAGCAUUACAAAAACAGUAGUGCUGACACAGGGAAAAUAAAAGCCGUUUCAGGUGCUGAAGAAAUAAAUGUGCAAGGAAUUAAAGAAGAUGAGACAAAAAUGCAAGGAAGAUGAAGAUCCAGGCAACAGCAAAAGCAAACCUGUCAGCUCUGAGAGUUCUUUGAUUUCCACUGUGGGUUGGCUUUAAACAUGAAGACAGAGAAAAGGUAUUGUCAUGUGGAAAUUUCUGGAGCCAAUAAUGUGGAUCCUGGACUACCAUUCUCGUUAAGCACAUGCAGUGGUUCCUUUUCAGGAUGCAGAAUGCUAUACAAGUGUCUACACAGAUCAGAAAAGUUGAGUCUUACAAGACCAAAGGAACUGCAAUUUGCCACUGGGCGUACAAUGCUUUAGCCACUAAAACCCAUAAAAGUCCAGUUGAAUCGAGGCAUCUACAGCUCAGUAUGUUGUUUCCUAAUGAUAGACUUCAAGUAUCAGUAUUUAGUUGGAUUGGUUAUAUCCUAAGCAGUGAGAAUGGAAGAACGUGUUUAUCAGAAGGACAUCUCCAAAUUAUCAGAAGGACAUCUCCAAACCAUGUGAAAGAAAUAUCAGUCUGAAAAUAUACAUUCACCAACUCUAGCAACUUUUUCCCCUCUGAUUAUCAAUUAAUGCCCUAGUCAGCAAUGAACCUUAUUUUGUAUCAGACAUUGCACAUGGAAGCAAGAAAGCAAGAAAAACUGCAGCACCUUACUCCAGGGUAAGUAUCUAAAGUCACUUCCAGAAGAACUGAAGAGCUGAAAUGAGAAAGACUGAAUGAGCAUUAGACAUCUGCAAUUCAGAUUAGCCUGAAGUUUUAAUUGCUAUGUUAUCAGAAAUAAGUGCAUUUCAUUGAGCAGUAGCUGUUCAGGAAGACUUGGAGUCAUCAAUGGUAUAUCAUAACGAUGAUGACUUCAUCUCUCCAAAGGGUAUUAGCAAGGAUUCAUUUCAACCUGUCAUUCUAAAAAUGGUGAUACAAGAGUCAACAGUACUUUUCCAGUUUUGCUAUUACUUCACAAGCUAGUUGCAAAUCAAAUGAAUCUUUUCAACAUCUUUAGAAAGAACACGUGGCCCUUCAUCCUCUAAUUGUCCUGAAAUGUCUCCCCCUAAUGUGUCCACAUGUGCCUACAUAUGUGUGAGGGAAAGGAGGAGAAUAUCAAAAUGUAGGCUAAUUUUCUUUUAAUUUUCAAAAUCUCCAAAGUUUUGAUGUGUCUGGAUUGCAUUCUUGUUUUGAUUUAUGACUGUGUAGGUGGAAGGGUGCAGCUGCUCUGAAAUUCCAGUCAUGAUUCUUACCCAAAUAUA